CACCAGCUUCCCCAGGGACGGGCAGCCCUCCAGGGUCUUCUCCUUGCCUGAGGUUGAGCACAAGCCCCUUUUGGGAGGCUGAACUUGGGUGAGACAGCAGGGCUCGGUGAUGGUAGGAAAAGGCACUGUGGGCUCCACUGAGCUGCCCUUUGGGCCUUUCCUUGGAUUAAGAGGGUAGAAAGAGAAAAGAACUGGGAAGCUCGUGAGUGAGAUACUCCAGUGUCACCAACUACCAGGCUCCAGCAGACCCUUGUGACAUCCCUGGCUCCCUCUCUCUUCCCUCACUCAACUGGUUUCUGGAGGGUAAGGCUGAGGCCAGAGUGGAAGGGACUUUACUGAGGUCACGAAGCAGGGUAGGCUGGAGAGUGACCCGGAGCAUUCCUGACCCCCAGCAGGUGCAUGUGUCCACCUCAAUGUCCUUCCUCAAACCGGCUCUCAAGAAGGGCUUUGAGAUCUGCCCUGUCAUUGUGGUUUGGGGGACAUGCCCUGGGGUGGGCCGCUGGCCUGGGACGGUGAUCAGGAUGGGCAGAUCCCAGGCUAAGCUUCAGCCACGGAAAGACACAUCGGCUGAACUCUGCUUACAAAGAACAACGUGUCAGACUGAGCAGGUGUUGGGGACAGCCAUGACCGACCGGUUCCUGCUCUCAGAUCUUCCGCUCACUGGCUGCGUAGCCUGGGGACAGACACCAUCCACCUCUUCCCUUUCACAGCUCCAUCGAGCGGGUUUCAUUCACGCCAUUUUGGAGCUGAGGAGAUGCGUCCAGAGAGGUGGAGCGGUGGGGGUGUGAGGCUACGCGGCAAGGUGGCAGAAGCAGUGUUGAAACCCAAACAAAUCAAGGGACCCUGCAUCGUGUGCCAUGACUAGUUUCACUGAUGGGAGAAGGAUUUCAUCUUCUGAAGAGGUAUUUAGGAAGAACGUGCUGGAAAAGUGGGCUGGAGCCAUCUGUUCAUUUAUGCAUCCAUCAAACAUUUUUCAAGCACCUGCUCUGACGUGCCAGACCGUGACUGCGGUGCCGGAAUGAGAGUUGGGAUCCAAAUCGACAGCCUCCCUCUUCGCCUGGAGCUUACUUUGAGAACAGAGAUGGUAACUAAAUGCCUGACGUCAUUUCCA